GCUUAAGCAAGGCAGUGAAAGUAGAGAAGAGCAGAGGAAACAAGGUGAAACAGAGAGGUACGAGUCAAUAUCAUAGGAGUUCAAGGACAAAAUAAUUGUGAAUGUAGUCAAGAUAAUUAUACCUUAUCAAGGUGGCUGUACUUCAGACACUGGCCUAUUCUACUGUUCCUGUUUUAUGAGGAGCAACGCUGUAAGAGGAGCUCAGUCUGUGAGGAAGAGGAGAGGCACUGAGAGGCUUCAGCGCCUGCAGCAUUUUCCUGAGUGCCCUUUCCAUGGUGCUCUGCACAAAAGUGAAGCCAGUCCAGAUACCUCUCUUUUUCAGCCUAACCACAGGAUUACUGAGGUAAUGAAGAUGGGAUUCUACUUGUACUUUUAGAAAUGUUAUUAAUGGGAUUCCUGAUUGCCAAUGAAAGUCUUUGCUGGCUCCUGAUGGACUGUAUUAAUUUCUUUUGGAGCUGUAAAACACUGACUGUUCCAAAUCAUCUUAAAGAUGCCCCUUCUCAGUCACUCCAGGAGAAAAUUUCCAGAAAAAAAAUCCAUCAAGCUGAACACAUGUGAGCAAGGAGAGGUGCCCAGCCUUUCUAAAAGGAGCAGCAGAGAACUGGGCACAUGCUGCUCCAUGGCACUCAUACCCUUCUCCAGUGCUGCUCCUUUGGCAGUGUUUUCACGCUCAACAUACAGCAGCAAAGAAUAUUAAAACAUGGAAUCUUCACCCUGCUGUUAAAAGCAUCACCGACAACAAAAUAUGCAUUGUAAAGAAUUGUCGAGUUCUUACUUGACCAUGGUAUUCUACAUCCAAAAGUAGAGAAGAGUGUAAGAAAAGUGGCUCAGACUAAGCUGAAUAGGAAUUAGAGUGCAAGAAGAAGAGGGCUUGCACAAAUCUGUAAGACUGAACAGUGGAGAGGCAAUAAAAGAGAAGAUUUGCUGGAGAAAGGAACCUGAAGCCCAAAAGGAAAUCUAUAGACUUCUUGCAAUGUUUUUCUUUAGAUUACAAACCAAGUGGUGUCAAGGAAAGGUGUUAGAGUUUAGAGAUCUCUGAGGGAAGUCCCUCUCUCUUCACUUUUGAAAUAAAAGGUUUUCCAAAUACUCUUGCAAAUAAAACAAUAGAAAGAAAAUAUGUGGUUUCUUUUGAGACAUGCACAGAAGCAUUUAUGGCAGUUCUAAAGCAUUGUUGAUAUGAUGCUGUUAUCUUUUUUUAGCCAGCAAAAUUGUGGCUUUGAUCCUUAACACCUUUGUAACACAGGUGAUGCAAUACAAAUGGGAUUGCUCUUGGCAUGCCAUGGGAAGGUUUUGCUCCUUUUUCUCAAGAUGGGUGAGAAUGGAUCUGUUCUGUGAAGUUGGUUUUUCUCUAAAGAGCUACAGUAAUGCUUGAUGUGCAGUUAGUUAUUUUAAUUCUUUAACACUAAAAGAGAAGCUGACUUCUGCUGAGCAGCAGCCUCUGGUUUUCUGCAUUGAAUAAAGGAGGUGAGUGGCUGGGUGCUGAAGCAAAGUUGCUGUCGAGGUUUGGGACUUAUUUAUUAAGGUACAGAAUGAAGGAGUGUUCUAGAUUUAAGCUGGGGAGGAAGAGAAGAUAGACUGGCAUAGUGAAGAAGUGGUGCAGUUUCAUAGGUUAAAUGGAGGAUACGUGAAUGAAAUCCUGUUUGCUGCUUAUAGGUGCAUAAAAGGAUGUGGAUCACCGUAAAUAUCUUGGUAUUUUAUGGUACUUGUUGCCUGUGGAAGAUGCAUUUGUCCCUGUUUAUCUUAAUAUGUCAGUGUCUUUAUGCUUCUCUGCUGGAUGAAUUGAAAUUUAGAGGCUCUAAAUCUGAUUAAAAAAACCUUUUUGGUCCAGGCUUGGGAGAGUUUCAAUGAAGCUGUUUCUGUGCAUGUCUAAGAAAUUCAUCCACUCUCUGAUUGCUACCAAAUAGCUCCAGUCUCUAGAGAUUUGUUCUAACUUGUGAGCUUUCUGGGGAAGCAGUUGACAACUCAGUUUUCAGUUGGGCUGUUAUGGAGCUGUGGACGUCAUUUGGAUAUGGAUCCAGUGUAAAGCUGGAGGAGAGGAAAGCAUCAGCCUCACUGCUUCUGGAGCCUUUCUCGAAUGGCCGGUUUGUGUGAGGGCCUGGCUGCCGUAAUAUGGAACUGAAACCUGGCAGAGAGACUGGUUUAGGUCUGCCUGAGAAAUAGUGGUUUGUUUUCCAAGCUCCACUCUGAGGUAAGUUCUGUGUGCUGCACGUCUUUAAGUCAUAUGUGUGUUUUGGUAGGUGGACUGUCGGAAUAUGAACAUACGUCAGGUUAUCUUCCCAACAGGCUCAAGGGGAGGCAUUUAGCUAUUAGUGACAGUGAAUUCAGUCCUGGAGGUAGUGAGUUGAAAGGGCUUUGUGUUUACAGGUAUGUGCAGCUCUGCAGUGUGUUCUGCAUCUGCUGAUGUGUAGGGAAGAGAAAGGCAGUGAUGCUGUGGUGGAGCUGUUAGAGGAAAGCAGUUAAUGCCUGCCACUAUAGCCCUCACUGCUCUCCGUGGAUGCCCUGGUGAUGGAGGUGAUGCAGCUCAAAACCGAAGAGGAACCUCUACUGGUGUCUGUGAGAGUUGGUGCUUUUCAAAGAAUUAUUCCUUUUCUACUCAUGCUGAUCUUAGG